rnacentral:rRNA from 1 species
UCUCCGUUGGUGACCAGCGGAGGGAUCAUUACCGAGUUUACAACUCCCAAACCCAAUGUGAACCAUACCAAACUGUUGCCUCGGCGGGGUCACGCCCCGGGUGCGUCGCAGCCCCGGAACCAGGCGCCCGCCGGAGGGACCAACCAAACUCUUUACUGUAGUCCCCUCGCGGACGUUAUUUCUUACAGCUCUGAGCAAAAAAUUCAAAAUGAAUCAAAACUUUCAACAACGGAUCUCUUGGUUCUGGCAUCGAUGAAGAACGCAGCGAAAUGCGAUAAGUAAUGUGAAUUGCAGAAUUCAGUGAAUCAUCGAAUCUUUGAACGCACAUUGCGCCCGCCAGUAUUCUGGCGGGCAUGCCUGUCCGAGCGUCAUUUCAACCCUCGAACCCCUCCGGGGGGUCGGCGUUGGGGAUCGGGAACCCCUCAGACGGGAUCCCGGCCCCGAAAUACAGUGGCGGUCUCGCCGCAGCCUCUCCUGCGCAGUAGUUUGCACAACUCGCACCGGGAGCGCGGCGCGUCCACGUCCGUAAAACACCCAACUUUCUGAAAUGUUGACCUCGGAUCAGGUAGGAAUACCCGCUGAACUUAAGCAUAUCA